AGGGGUGUAGCUCAGAUGGUAGAGCGCUCACUUAGCAUGCGAGAGGUACUGGGAUCGAUACCCAGCACCUCCA
rnacentral:tRNA from 1 species